AACAGAUAAACCACAAGCAAUGUGCGAAAGGGUGCUGCAGGCUAAUUCCUUAAUAAUCCUCAAAACUGGGCUUCGAUUGGACCCUGUCCUGUUCAGUGCCUCGGAUACUUUCUCGUAUGGGGGAUCUGUAUGGAAUGCGGGCUAUAUUUUGAAUUUAUAGUAGUAAAAUGUAACAAUAGUUUGCAACUAUCGGUGAUAACAUCAAACUUAAAGAAAAUAAAUUCACUUCAGUGACCCUUUAUGAAUGGACAAAGCGGCUUCGAAAUUCGCACUUGGCCAGACUUGAAAUUGAAAAAAUAUCAAAGCCAUUAAGCGCUGCUCCAAAUGAACUGCAAGUGUCCGCUCCCAUGCACUCAUUCUGAGAAUUGCUCCAUAUAACCCAC